rnacentral:sRNA from 1 species
CGGCUCCCGGAGACUGAAGUCCUCUAUUUAUCCACAGAGCAGAUCCGGCGCGGGCAGCGGCGGUGGCGGUGCAAGCUUCCCCCACACUGCCUCCACCCUGUGCCUGACCGCUGAGCCGGAGGAACCACCUCUAAAGGUGAGAGGGGUCGCUCAGCCUCCACGCCCCUUAACGCUCCU